rnacentral:lncRNA from 1 species
AGGGAACUCCCUAAUCAAGCUGCGUCCUCAUCCUCUGACGCUCUCCACUCUUCUUCAUGUGCUUACUGCUCAUCAUCAUCAUCAUCAUCAUCAUCAUUAUCUGACUACUCUGGCUUGGCCUCAGACUGCUCAAAUGUAUUGAUAUCCUCAUCAUCGGGGAGUCCGUAUGCAUCACCUAUCCCAACCAGUUGUUGGGCAUGAGUAUUGAAUGGUACCACUACUCCAAUAAUGUCCUCUCCUCAUAUGUGGCCGGUCGACCCCCUAUCCUCAACUUCAAAUCCAUCAUCCCAUAGAGAUGGGCCAUAAAACUAUCAUCACGAGCAUUGCACUCGGCACCUGUCAAAGACGUCAUGACAGUCUCCUCUUUCAUCCGGAUACUAGUGAUGUCCGUUUGUCAUAGAGGCUGAUCAAUAGUGUGGUCAAACUCUGGCUCAUCCUGAACCUCCACAUGUCUUAAGAAUUAAGUCAAAAAUUGGCAAAUGGCAUUCGAUCAACCUUCUUACUCGUUCUGACUAAAGAUACCUGGUAGCGGAUUAAAUGACCCACACACCCUUUGAACAAUCAUGAGGAAGUAGAGUGCACAAGUCCUCUCAUG